rnacentral:rRNA from 1 species
AUACGUAGGGUGCAAGCGUUAAUCGGAAUUACUGGGCGUAAAGCGUGCGCAGGCGGUUUUGUAAGACAGAGGUGAAAUCCCCGGGCUCCACCUGGGAACUGCCUUUGAGACUGGAAGGCUAGAGGACGGCAGAGGGGGAUGGAAUUGCGCGGGUAGCGGUGAAAUGCGUAGAUAUGCGGAGGAACAACGAUGGCGAAGGCAAUCCCCUGGGCCUGUACUGACGCUCAUGCACGAAAGCGUGGGGAGCAAACAGGAUUAGAUACCCUGGUAGUCCACGCCCUAAACGAUGUCAACUGGUUGUUGGGUCUUCAUUGACUCAGUAACGAAGCUAACGCGUGAAGUUGACCGCCUGGGGAGUACGGCCGCAAGGUUGAAACUCAAAUGAAUUGACGGGG